GGAAAGUUACCACCCCAACCGUUUAACACCAAAGGAGGACAAAAAUGCUGUCUUUUACCAGGAAUAAUGGACCGGGUCAACAGAAUGUACAACUUACACAAUCCCCACCAGCUGCUUCUCCGUUUAACCCCAACACAUUUGGGAAUCAGCAAACUGGGAAUGCAAUUGGGUCAAUGUAUGUAAUAGCUGGAGUCAAACCCCAAAACCUCAUGUCUCAACUAUGUCACUAUGGAGCUGACUCUAAUAGACAGCCAUCAAAUUGGCAGACCUCAGCAGUUCAUCAGGCAGUUUAUUUUCAGCAGACUGCCGGAAGUGACAAUUAUCAGCAACGCUCACCUGCUAAUGAGCAAAGUAGAAACCCCAUAUUGCAUCAUUUAUUGAUCCACCCAAGUCCACCAGACGUGAUGAUGGCAAAAGAAGUAUGCCCUCAGCAAGUCAAUUCAGCAAAUUGGAACCAAUCAGUGGGAGUUUAUGGGAAACCAUCAAUAACGACACAGAAUGGUAAUAUCGUGACCGAUCGCCAUCAUUGUUGGGAUGAGAAUAGUCUUCUCAACCUAAAUGGGAAAUCAGUUAUACCUGCUUCUGCAACUGCUACCUCGCCUCAACAUGGAGCGGUGGCUUACAAUGGGACAUUGGGGCCUGCUGCUGCACACCAUGGACCGACUGCUCAUAACAGUCCCAAACAAAACCCCACUCAGCAUUGUUUCCACCCAAGUUAUAUGUCUGUCUCUCAGUCUUUCAGAAACGACAACAAAACAACGCACUCCUCCUCUAGUGGACACAACCUACAGGUUUCCAGCACAAGUCGGAUUUUUCAACAAUCCUCAGCACAUAACAAUGGUGGAGAGACCGCCGGUUGCAUUAAUUCAAAUAACAGACAGCAUGAAACUAACUUUUCCGUGUCACAACCAAAUAAUUAUCCCUUAAAUCCUGCUGCACAACAGGAAAUAUGCAGGCGCCAAACUAUCGCAAGAAUUGAAAACUAUCUACGUAUGCCAAUUGCUGCUGGCUCAGAUGGGCGACCUCAAGUGAAUACUAGUUCAGCUUACGGACAAAAUAAAAAUGUGCAACCAGUGACAACGGUUGCCAAAAUAUUUAACGCAAAUGCCACCCACGCCAUACGACAAAAUUCUAGACCUCCUUUGCCUCAAACCACUUGUAGUGUUAUGUCUGCGCAGCAUUGCGGAGAUGUGCUACUUCAGCAAAGCUCUGUGCCAAGUGUCAUCAAUGUCUCAGCGAUGCAAGAUGGAAGCCAUUGUGAAAUGCUAUCAGCCAAGGCAAAUGACCCCUGCGGUCUCUUGUCCCCUGGCCGCACGAGAGUUGUUGCUGUUGUGCAACCAUUGUCACAGGGAAGCUACCAGGUUGCCGGCCGGCAGAGCAGUUCUUGCACCGCCAGUCAGUUGUCGGAGGGCGCCACAGCAGAUGGGUCUUCGAGUUACCCAGAUCGUUUACUCAUUUCACCACAAAACAAGCAUUUGGGGUAUCUGAAAGUGGGACAGUCUCUUCUCCCAGAAAACCCAAACCAAAUGAGCUCCAGCCAAUAUGCAAUCCUGCAUUCAGCGGUAUCCAAUAAUGCUACUUGUCGUCUGUCGUCUUCAGCUGGGCCUCACCACUCGCCGCAAGAACACCACUCGCCGCAAGAACACCACUCGCCGCAAAAACAAUCGCCGCAAAAACAAUCUACGGUUGCCGCAGGAUCUGAACUGGAUGUUGACAUGCAAGUACACAAGUGUGUUGCACCAACUGCUCAACCAUCAGUAACUUCCAAAGCGCCAGUGAGCCAAAAUUGUGAUAUGGACUUAAGUGAGACAACAAAUGGCGUUGAGGUUCCCUCAGUCCCCCAAAUCCCAUGGACAAGAGUCACAUUAUCAAAGUACAUACAGGAUUGUGAAAAAGCUCAGAUCAAGUUAAAAGAUUUUGCCACGCGUAGCCCACUACACAAAUUAUUGAGCAUGUUUUGGGAUGGCGACAUUAGCAACUUGGCUUGUGAGCUUAAGAAAGGCCUGUACCAUACUUUAAUGGAUGAUGUCAAGAAAGUGUGCCGCGAACAUGCAACGAUAGAAUCCAUGUCACAAGUUUGGGGCUCAUGGAGUGCAGUCACAGAACUCAAGAACUACAAUGUCCUCAAAGAUACAGAUGUUUAUAAAGAACUGCCUUACAAGUCAUUAUGGUUGAAUGUCAAUGAGCAGCUUGAUGACAUUGACAAAGAGUUUGACUUCCCACCAUCUUUGAAGUAUCAUCUUCAUUCGGUUACGAGUGUCAGUCAGCCGGGUGAGGUUGAGAAAGAAGGCAACAAUUCCGCACAAACCGUAAAUGAAGUGUCCAACAAGAUUUUGUCAUCAACGGAACUUCAGCAGGUGGAGUUAAAUGAAGAAAAACAAGAGCCCAGUGUUGAAACAACUUCCACACAAACUAAAAAAAGGAAAGCCACUGAUUCCAGUGACCCAUACUCUUUUCAAAUCCAAGUUCUUACCCCAGAAGAUGCCAAAGUCAUCUUUGAGCAGGUGAUAAAGGCUCCAGAAAGUAUGGUUGUGGAUAUGGACUAUCAGCCAGAUAAAGUCUUAAAUAGCUCUGUGGAAGUUGAGCUACCUGAUGUUAUCGAUGUAACACAGAGUGACCCAAAACUUGAGGACAAAACAUUCGGUCCAAUUGAAGAAAUUUGCUGCAUCGACAGGUGGAUGGAAAACAUUUUGGGGUCAAACACUGCUUCUAAAUGCAAAUGCCAAAUCAAGCCAACCCUGACCCCAAGUCAGAAAGAACUUACUGCGAAGACCGUUGACAAGGAAGGGAUGGCAGCACGGAAGAAUGAUUCAUUCAGGCCUGACAACAAAUCCCCCUCUGCUGCAGCUGGAGAGAAUCAAGCAGUGAGUGGGGAGAGCGUCAACAAUCGGGUUUUAACAUUUGAUUGGCCUGUGAUAGUUGACGUAUUCAGUGAAAACAUUGACAAUCCUGAAGGCCGUGACAAACCUCAUUCACAUUCUGACCAAGACCCAGAGAACAUUGACCAGAUAAGCAUAGACAGCGGCCAGUCUAGCAUCCUAUUCAUAAGCGAUGACGAAGAGCUGUCAUGCAUUGAAAGUGAAACUCCCAACCAAAUACCAAACUUGGGAAGUAAUUCUGAACACGCGCCGGUGGAAUUGCGAACCAGUGGCCAGUUAAACUGUUCAGACGCAAAAGAGACCGCUAAAAUCUCCAGAAUUUCUAAAAUUCAUUCAGACCUCGAUGAGGAAGGUCUACCAUAUCAGUUGAAACAUACUGGACAUCUACAGUUGUCUACUCUGGUUAAAAGUGACCAAAAAAUUAAAAGUCUAUCCAGCGGUGAAAGUGACUCUUCAAUCCAGAUGACUGACCUCAAGGAAAAUUGUGGACAAGCUCAAGCGCGAUCUACAAAUGACACUGAGUCGUCAUUGGAAACUGAAGAAAUAAAGAGUGCGGCAGGAGCCCGACAGAACCCGCGGAGUGGUAAACUGAAGAGACCACGUGGUCCUGAUAGAUUUUUACCAGCAUCAAAGAAAUCAAAGAAAAGCAAAUCCCUAGUAGAUCUAGAGAACUCACAGCCUUUCCGCAAGGAUGCUUCAAACUGUGGGAAGGUCUUUUUUCAUGCGUCUGAUGGCGAACCUUCCCCCUUCAGCCGUCCAACUGUGGACCUGGUUCUGUUUGGCUCCAGGACACAGGACAAUUGUGUUGUAAUGGAUAGCAGAAGGAACCAUUCCUCGUCUCCAGAGGCUGGGUCAAAUCCUGUACCGAGGCCUCCAAAAUCUCUCACUGUGAAUCUCAGUCCCUUGAAGAAAAAGACCAUUAAAACUGUGCAGACAUGGGAAUGUUCAGUCCAACGGCUUUACAAGAAAUGGAAGAUUAGUUUUCCACCAGCUAAAAUAAAGCACAAAGGCAGGCUAAAAGCACAGAAGGGUACCUUUGCCCCGUCAUCCAAGUGUAAUCUGGAGAGAGCUGAAAAGACCGGCCCUGCUGGCGCUGAACAGCCGCCAGUUUGCUCUAACAAGAGGGUCACGAGAGGGAAAACCAAGCCCAGCCCGAGUCUUCUUUGGAGGAAGUCCCUCUCCGAAGAACUUCAAUGUGAAGAGCAGAUACAGACCCUCAACCGUCCUGAUGAUCAGGAGAGAAAUAACGGCGACAGUGGAAGCCAUGCGGUCAUGCCUCUCCAGAGAAACGGUACCCUGAAGUAUAGUGUCUUACCGGUUUCCUUUAACUUUGGAACCAAUGGGACAAAAGAAACCAAGGAGCCUGUUUCAGGGAAGCCUGAUGUUGCUGAAGGAAAGGACCACAGACCCAAUCAAACUGUCAUUGAAAGAAGUACAUGGUAUCCAAUGGCCCACACGAAUAGUCUAUUUUUCCCUCCCACACCAAAGACCACCAGCCUCUUCCAAACGUUUCAGAAGAAGUACAUGGAGAAGGUGAAGCCACUUGAGGAUAAAUGAGAUGCCAGAACAAAGUUUUGCUGGCAACAGAACUCAAAAGAUUGUUACAGAAGUGAUGUCUUUCUAUUUUUGUACUGUACGUGACGGAGCCAUUGUAAGUCGAGUCAGUCAGAUGUUUACAUCAGUUUGUACUUAAAAAUGACCUUUGUUUACAUAACUAUAAAGGCUGUCAAGUCCUACGUUUCACUGUUUUACCUCAGUUAUAUAAAUAUAUAUAUAUAUAUAUACAUAUUUUUUCUACAUUAUAUUUUUCUGCAAUAUUCUCUUUUUGAACAAAUAUUUUUUUUAUACAAAAGGUGUCUAGAAUAGCAGAUUAUAUGUCUGUUUACACAAGAUAACGGUUAUGUUGGGAGCACUAACGGUGAAUUUAGUACCCAGAAAGGACAUAAUGGUAUUUUUUUUUCUUUUAUAUCAAGUAAAACUAUUGACAGUUACAAAUUCUUAAGUUUGUCUCGUCUUUCUCUGAUUUCGAACGAUUCAAGUGUGCUUUCAUCAAAGAAGUGUGGUGAAGAACGCAAUCUACCUGGCCGAGGGUCAGGAAACAUUGGGACCGUUGACGUUUUCUUUUUUGUAUUUAAAUGUUUAACCACUUGGGGUUUGAUUAACUUUACCCGGUUGGCCAAGAAGCCCAUUAUAGACGUUCCUAUUUAACCAUUCAGAAUGAGUUUGUCAGGAAUCAGGAAACAUUUAUUGCCAAAAUAUGUCAAACAUACAAGGAAUUUGUCUUGACGGUUGGUGCGUGACCGUAGACAGUGUAACAAUAGACAAGACAGCAGUGCACAAGUAAUAAAAUAAGGUAAAAUGAAAUGCAAAUGAAAUGGGUUAGUAUAAAAGAGAAUAAAGUUUAGUUAAAAAUAAAAAAUAUUGAAGUUAAAAUAUUAAGCAUAAAGUGCACUAGCAAACAAGUGACGACUAACGACAAAGUGAAAAAAUUACAGUUAAAGUGACAUGUGCAGUAUGAAGGGGAGUGACCGGUGGAAUGUUAUAGUCAGUCAGUGGGGGACCAGGCUCUGUUGAUGAGCCUGACUGCCGACGGGAAGAAACUGUUCGUGUGGCGGGAGGUCUUCGUCCUAAUGGACCUCAGCCUCCUGCCAGAUGGAAGGGGCACAAACCGUUUUUGUCCGGGGUGAGCGGGGUCGGCUACGAUCUUUUUAGCUCGCUUCAGAGACCUGGAAGCGAACAAGUCCUGCAGGGACUGCAGAUUGCAGCCGAUCACCCUCUCUGCAGAGCGGAUGACAUGCUGCAGCCUGCCCUUGUCCUUGGCUGUGGCUGCAGCGUACCAGACGGUGAUGGAGGAGCAGAGGAUGGACUCGAUGAUGGCUGUGUAGAAGUGGACCAUCAUCGUCUUUGGCAGGUUGAAUAUCUUCAGCUGCCCCAGGAAGAACAACCUCUGCUGAGCCUUCUUUGUGAUGCAGCUGAUGUUCAGCUCCCACUUGAGGUCCUGAGUGAUGAUGGAGCCCAGGAAACGGAAGGAGUCCACAAUAGUGACGGGGGAGUCACACAGGGUGAUGGUGGAAGGUGGGGCUCUGUUCCGCCGGAAAUCCACAACCAUCUCCACUGUCUUCAGAGCGUUGAGCUCCAGGUUGUUCUUACUGCACCAUGACACCAGAUGGUCAGACUCCCACCUGUAGGCGGACUCAUCCCCAUCAGAGAUCAGUCCAAUGAGGGUGGUGUCAUCCGCAAACUUCAGGAGCUUGACGGACUGGUGACUGGAGGUGCAGCUGUUGGUGUACAGGGAGAAGAGCAGAGGGGAAAGAUUGCAGCCUUUGGGGGAACCGGUGCUGAUGGUCCGAGAGGCUGAGACAUGUUUCCCCAGCUUCACGUGCUGUUUCCUGUCAGACAGGAAGUCUGUGAUCCACUUGCAGGUGGAGUCGGNNNNNNNNNNNNNNNNNNNNNNNNNNNNNNNNNNNNNNNNNNNNNNNNNNNNNNNNNNNNNNNNNNNNNNNNNNNNNNNNNNNNNNNNNNNNNNNNNNNNUUGGCUCUGUAGGCGAACUGCAGGGGGUCCAGGAGGGGGUCGGUGAGGGACUUCAGGUGGGACAGGACUAGCCGUUCAAAAGACUACAGAGGUCACGAUGACGGGCCUUAUAAAGUGAACAUCUCUCUGGCUGGCUGUUUGCAGA
ensembl:lncRNA